rnacentral:rRNA from 1 species
AGUCGAGCGGGGAUUAUCGAAUGAAGUUUUCGGAUGGAUUUUGAUAAUUCUAGCGGCGGACGGGUGAGUAACGCGUGAGCAACCUGCCUUUCACAGGGGGAUAACGCAUCGAAAGGUGCACUAAUACCGCAUGAGACCACGCUCCCGACAUGAGAGAGGGGUCAAAGGAGCAAUCCGGUGAGAGAUGGGCUCGCGUCUGAUUAGCUGGUUGGUGAGGUAACGGCCCACCAAGGCGACGAUCAGUAGCCGACCUGAGAGGGUGAUCGGCCACAUUGGAACUGAGAGACGGUCCAAACUCCUACGGGAGGCAGCAGUGGGGAAUAUUGGGCAAUGGGGGAAACCCUGACCCAGCAACGCCGCGUGAAGGAAGAAGGUUUUCGGAUCGUAAACUUCUAUCCUUGGUGAAAAUAGUGAUGGUAGCCAAGAAGGAAGCCCCGGCUAACUACGUGCCAGCAGCCGCGGUAAUACGUAGGGGGCAAGCGUUGUCCGGAAUGAUUGGGCGUAAAGGGCGCGUAGGCGGCCUGGUAAGUUUGAAGUGAAAGUCCUUCUUUUAAGGAGGGAACUGCUUUGAAAACUGUCGGGCUUGAGUGCAGGAGAGGUAAGCGGAAUUCCCGGUGUAGCGGUGAAAUGCGUAGAGAUCGGGAGGAACACCAGUGG